CAUGGUUGUCGUCAGCUCGUGUCGUGAGAUGUUGGUUAAGUCCGCAACGAGCGCAACCCUAUUGCUAGUUACCAUCAUUAAGUUGGGGACUCUAGCGAGACUGCCAGUGAUAAACUGGAGGAAGGUGGGGAUGACGUCAAAUCAUCAUGCCCCUUAUGACCUGGGCUACAAACGUGAUACAAUGGCUGGAACAAAGGGAUGCGAAGCAGUGAUGUGGAGCGAAACCCAUAAAAACAGUCUCAGUUCGGAUUGAAGUCUGCAACUCGACUUCAUGAAGUCGGAAUCGCUAGUAAUCGCGGAUCAGAACGCCGCGGUGAAUACGUUCUCGGGGUUU
rnacentral:rRNA from 1 species